AGAAUGAACGUUGGCGGCGUGGAUUAGGCAUGCAAGUCGCGCGAGAAAUUUCCUUCGGGGAAUGGAAAGCGGCGGAAGGGAGAGGACAAGGUAGAAAUCUACCCUCGGGACGGGGAUAGCGGCGGGAAACUGCCGGUAAUACCCGAUAACAUCUACGGAUCAAAUGGUGUGAUUCCGCCUGAGGAUGAGUCUACUUCCUAUUAGCUAGUUGGCGGGGUAAUAGCCCACCAAGGCAACGAUGGGUAGCGGGUGUGAGAGCACGAUCCGCCUCACUGGGACUGAGACACUGCCCAGACACCUACGGGUGGCUGCAGUCGAGAAUCUUCGGCAAUGGGCGCAAGCCUGACCGAGCGACGCCGCGUGCGGGAUGAAGGCCUUUGGGUGUAAACCGCUGUCGUAGGGAACAAAGUUUAUGGGGUUCUCCCUGUAAUUGAGUGAUCCUAGGAGGAAGGACGGGCUAAGUUCGUGCCAGCAGCCGC
rnacentral:rRNA from 1 species